UACGUCAGUUAAGUAGCCUAUUUGCAAACAGUUUAAAAACUGAACGCGACUUCUUGGGAAAUUUACAGUUACGUUAAUUAACGUCAGCUUACAGUGUUAAUAUUUAUAUAAUGUUCGUCACAGGUUUACUUUGAGAUAAAUGCUUGUACUAAGUGGGGGUUUUUUCUUCUCGUUUUUGGUUUAGUUUCCUGCUUUAGGGAACCCGCCUUACAUGAUCCAGUGUGGAAGAUUUAGUGGCAGCAGUGAGGACUGCAGAUUGCGACCAGCUGAGACGUCUCCCGGUUAGAAUUUCAGUGUUCAUUGUUCAGGAGGUUUGUACCGGGAGCUGAACUAUCUGCAGAGGUCUUCUCUUCUCCAAAAGAAAUGGACCAGAUAAAUGCACAGAGAGAAGAUGCCUGGAUUUGCCUCAUGACAACAGCUGAUCAGAUAUUAAGAUGACUGCAUCUCAGAACAUGUCUUCACCAUAUAGAGGCCCUGUGUUCACCUCUGAUAGACCAGAUGAACCUGCGGAGCAGCAGCAGAGUUUCUUGGAAAGUGCAGUACCUGAGCCUUGGGGACGGACAUUUGGAGCCAUCUACAGAUAACGUAUGCAUUGAAGAUGUUUGAAAGUGAGAGUUUUGCAUCUGAACACUUUGAAUAAAUGCUUCAGUACAUGUCUGAACAAUACUGGGGCAUGUCUAAAGACAGCAGUAUACCUUUGUGAUAUUUUGUUGAUCAGAUAUUCAAUAAAAGGUCAAAUCUAA